UACGUAGGUGGCAAGCGUUGUCCGGAAUGACUGGGCGUAAAGGGCGCGUAGACGGCUGAUUAAGUCUGGAGUGAAAGUCCUGCUUUUAAGGUGGGAAGUGCUUUGGAGACUGGUUGGCUUGAGUGCGGAAGAGGUAAGUGGAAUUCCCAGUGUAGCGGUGAAAUGCGUAGAGAUUGGGAGGAACACCAGUGGCGAAGGCGACUUACUGGGCCGUAACUGACGUUGAUGCGCGAAAGCGUGGGGAGCGAACAGGAUUAGAUACCCGCGUAGUCCCU
rnacentral:rRNA from 1 species